AAUAAUUUGUGGGUGUAGGGCCUGAAAAAACUCGUAGAUUUUGUGUUGUUUAUCAGCUUCUUCUCUUGCUAAUGCCACGAGGAUGGAGUUAAAUCACAACACAACAUUG